GUGAGGAAUAUUGCGCAAUGGAGGCAACUCUGACGCAGCCAUGCCGCGUGCAGGAAGAAGGCGCUACGCGUUGUAAACUGCUUUUAACCGGGAAGAAACCCUAGGACGUGUCCUGGGUUGACGGUACCGGAGGAAUAAGCACCGGCUAACUUCGUGCCAGCAGCCGCGGUAAUACGAAGGGUGCAAGCGUUAUCCGGAUUCAUUGGGUUUAAAGGGUGCGUAGGCGGAGCGUUAAGUCAGUGGUGAAAUCCUGCAGCUUAACUGUAGACUUGCCAUUGAUACUGGCGCUCUUGAGUGCGCUUGAAGUGGGCGGAAUGUGCCGUGUAGCGGUGAAAUGCUUAGAUAUGGCACAGAACACCAAUUGCGAAGGCAGCUCACUAAGGCGAUACUGACGCUGAGGCACGAAAGCGUGGGGAUCGAACAGGAUUAGAAACCCGAGUAGUCC
rnacentral:rRNA from 1 species